rnacentral:rRNA from 1 species
AGGGUGUAAACAAUGUGCGUUAGGUGUGUCGGUAACCACGUGUUACUGAUGCGCCGAAGAGAAAUCGUGAAACGCACCACCUGGGAAGUACGGUCGCAAGGCUGAAACUUAAAGGAAUUGGCGGGGGAGCACCACAACAGGUGGAGCCUGCGGUUUAAAUUGGAUUCAACGCCGGACAUCUCACCGGAUAAGACAGCUGAAUGAUUGUCAAUCUGAAGGUUUUACAUGACUAGCUGAGAGGAGGUGCAUGGCGUCAGUGACU